UACGGGGGGGGGAAGCGUUGUUCGGAAUUACUGGGCGUAAAGGGCUCGUAGGCGGCCAACUAAGUCGGACGUGAAAUCCCUCAGCUUAACUGGGGAACUGCGUCCGAUACUGGAUGGCUUGGAUUUGGGAGAGGGAUGCGGAAUUCCAGGUGUAGCGGUGAAAUGCGUAGAUACCAGGAGGAACACCGGUGGCGAAGGCGGCUUCCUGGCCGAGUACUGACGCUGAGGCACGAAAGCGUGGGGAGCGAACGGG
rnacentral:rRNA from 1 species